GAUUUCUGACUUCGGCAGUCUGGCCCGGGUCUUUUAGACCUGUGUUGCCGGUACCGCCUGGUCAUCCUUCUGAAGAACACCUCUGCCCUUUACUGGGUCGGGGGUGCAAUUCAGAUCUUUUACUUUGAAAAAAUUAGAGUGUUCAAAGCAGGCUUAUCGCUGUGAAUACAUUAGCAUGGAAUAAUAAGAUAGGACUUUGGUUCUAUUUUGUUGGUUUCUAGGACUGAAGUAAUGAUUGAUAGGGAUAGUUGGGGGUGCUAGUAUUCAGCGGCCAGAGGUGAAAUUCUAUGAUUCGCUGAAGACUAACUUAUGCGAAAGCAUU
rnacentral:rRNA from 1 species